AAUGUUCCCUAAACACCUGCAAGGCAGAGGACACAGGGCUCCUGGUGCCCGUCCACCUAAGUGCCUCCUGGCCUCAGGGAAUCUGCUUUGGGGACCUGAAAGUAAGGUUCCCUGACCAUCAAGAACAGACAGACACUCAGCCACACUUCUGGAAACCUCCGCCCUUUGAAAGGGACUGGCUGGUGGAAGCAGGCGGCCUGGGGCAUAUCCCUGACCUUAUUACCCCCAGGUGGUGACAGAGAUGAUCUUUAAGUGUGGGAGCCUGGAGCCAAGUCCUUGGCCACAUCCCAGCUCUGCCUGGCUGUGUGCUGGUGGGUUAUUACCCUCAUUGCCUCAGUUUCCCCUCUGCACAAUGGGGCUGGCGCUAGUGCUCCCCACCCCAUAGACUGUCAUGAGAAGUAGCAUCUGGACAGGCCCUGAGAGCAGUGCCCAUCUCUGUGCCAUCCGCUGGGACUGGUGUUGGCCUGGUACUGUACCGUCUCACCCUUGUGUCCCCAGGAGGGGAGUGGGGUCGAGACCAGCCCCAGGGGUUACAUGGACAAUGGGGUUACAUGGACAAAUGCCUCUUGUUACAUUUUGUUCACUGGUUCCCAAAAUGAGGUGCAGGCUCUGCAGAGAAAGCAGGCUUUCCCCGAGGGGCUCUGGAGCAGAAAGAGCUGUCUCAAGGAGACGCAGAGAGAUGGUCUCGGGCGCGACCAGCAGGGAUUCCUCGUCCACACAGUUUCCUGACAGCGGUUGAAAGGGACGGGUCUACGCAGGCCAAGAACAGCAGCGGAGUGUGGGGUCAGGGGCCCAGCGGGGGGCACCCCGGGGAGGGGCCGCCUCCGCCAGACCCACCCCGGGUGAAAGGACGCAUUGUGUGCCCGCAGCAUGAGGGGAGCCUGCAGAGAGGCGUCUUUGUAGGGUCCACGAGGGGGAAAGCGCUUCCCGGCAGGCGGAGCACACAAGCCAGCCGGUGGCCACGGCCGGGACAGGCUUGUACGCAGGACAUUGAGGUCCGGCGAGGAUGGGGGGGCCACCAGGCCCCCGGCCCUUUGCAGAGUGUUGCUCGUUUUCUCCCACCCCAGAAUUGGGCUUGGCCAACACGGCCCCCCCAACCAUCCCCCCACCCCCGCCAGCUGCCCGGAGCCUCUGUGAAGAUGGCGGCACCGCCCCUUGCAAACUCCAUCUGCGUGGAGGUGGCACUCCUGCUCCGGGAGGGAUCCCGGUGCCCAGCAGAUGGCAGGCUUCCCCUAGAUCAGCCCAGGGCUGGCCGCUGCCUGCGGUGCACGCCCCCGCCCUCCCCCUCCCCGCCCCGCCCCGCCCCACCCCCACCUGCCUGUGGCUGGAGGGCAGCACUGCCUGCGCGCCUCCCCACCUGACCUCCCUCUUGCCUCCCUGCCUCCUUCCAAGCAGAUUUUGGUGAAUCCUAAAUCACGUGGAUAUUAACUCGCAAGUGCCUGCAAGCAGUUCUGAGGGCCGGGCUGGGGUGCACACUCACUUGGGCCAGGUCCCCCUGGUCAGGGUCAGCCAGACGCCACUCCUGCAUCCUGUCCACUCUUAGCAGCCUUCUGCCUUCCCUGCUGACUUUCCGCCUCUUCUCUGGGUGUCUGGUGGGUGGAGAGGUGGAGAGCCUCCAGCACAACCUCACCCCACCCCACCUCGCGUCAGCCUCAGCCUCCCCUGAGACUACACGGAACCCAGACACGUUUGACCUCUGGCCCCAAAGCAGAGAUGCCUGGCUGAUGGGAUGGGUGGGAGGCCUGACACAGCCAGAUGCAGCCUGCUUUGUGUCAUUCCUGCUCUCCCGGCGUGGACGCAGGGACCGCCCCCGGGACAGCCCAGCUGGGUCUCCAGGGUGGCUUUGUCUGGAAUUUACUUUGUGAACCUCUUGCUUGUCAAAAUUAUUUCAUAGAUGAUUCAUGGUUAUAUAGAAGUGUCAGAAAUAAAGAGAAGGAGCUCAGA
rnacentral:lncRNA from 1 species